AAUCCAAUCAAGCCUGGCUUGGUGUUGGGCGUCGGGACUCCCCCGCGCCCCAAUUUCACCGGCUGGCCGUCGCCCGUCUUUGCGUUUCGACACAGUUCUCGCUAGCGAUCGGAGCGGACCACGCCGUUAGAACCCAUGAAUUUCAAUUGGAAUUCGAUUA
rnacentral:misc_RNA from 1 species